UACGGGGGGGGCAAGCGUUGUUCGGAAUUACUGGGCGUAAAGGGCGCGUAGGCGGUCCGCUAAGUUGAAUGUGAAAACUCUGGGCUUAACCCAGAGCCUGCAUUCAAUACUGGCGGGCUAGAGUUCUGGAGGGGAUAGCGGAAUUCCUGGUGUAGCGGUGAAAUGCGCAGAUAUCAGGAAGAACACCAGUGGCGAAGGCGGCUUACUGGUCCGGUACUGACGCUGAGGUGCGAAAGCGUGGGGAGCAAACAGG
rnacentral:rRNA from 1 species